rnacentral:rRNA from 1 species
UAGGGAAUAUUGCGCAAUGGGCGAAAGCCUGACGCAGCGACGCCGCGUGAGUGAUGAAGGCCUUCGGGUUGUAAAGCUCUGUUGUAGAUGACGAAAAAAAUGACGGUAAUCUACGAGAAAGGACCGGCUAACUUCGUGCCAGCAGCCGCGGUAAGACGAGGGGUCCUAGCGUUGUUCGGAAUUAUUGGGCGUAAAGCGAGUGUAGGUGGCCUGUUUAGUCAGAUGUGAAAGCCCUGGGCUCAACCCAGGAAGUGCAUUUGAUACUGGCGGGCUUGAGUAUGGGAGAGAAUAGUGGAAUUCCUGGUGUAGUGGUGAAAUACGUAGAUAUCAGGAGGAACACCGGUGGCGAAGGCGGCUAUUUGGCCCAAUACUGACACUCAGACUCGAAAGCGUGGGUAGCAAACAG